UGUGAGGUGGAUGAAGCAGACUGCUGCAGUAUUUAAACCAUAACAUCCCCUCAGGUGCCACAACCAGCCUGAUGUGGCGUAAAAUAACUGGUCAUUUCUCACCGAAUUACAAGCUGUCACUUUCAAGGGUUUGUUUAAACUGAAGAGGGGCACUCCAACUCCAGAGGAGCCAGAAAUGACCAGAAAUAAAACGAAAACGAAUCAACACCUUCUGACGAACCAGAAUCAAGCUUUAAACACAACUGGUGUAAAUUUGUCAAUCUAGUUCAAUUCUACAAAUCAGCAUUGAUAGG